UACGAAGGGGGCUAGCGUUGUUCGGAAUUACUGGGCGUAAAGCGUGCGCAGGCGGCUGCUCAAGUCAGGGGUGAAAGCCCAGAGCUCAACUCUGGAAUUGCCUUUGAGACUGAGUGGCUUGAGUACGGGAGAGGUGAGUGGAAUUCCCAGUGAUAGAGGUGAAAUUCGUAGAUAUUGGGAAGAACACCGGUGGCGAAGGCGGCUCACUGGCUCGUAACUGACGCUCAGUGCACGACA
rnacentral:rRNA from 1 species